rnacentral:rRNA from 1 species
GAGAGAAAGGUGAGAAUCCUUUCGGCCGAAUAUCCAAGGUUUCCAGGGUAAAGCUGAUCUGCCCUGGGUAAGUCGGGGCCUAAGGCGAGGCAGAAAUGCGUAGUCGAUGGACAGCAGGUUGAGAUUCCUGCACCCGUAAUGAACAGAACUGUAGUGACACGGAAGGUAAGACAGAGCCGGGAAUGAGAAAACCGGUGCAAGCACAAUAGAUGUGUGGGAGGAAAAACCCCCGCAUAAGUCGAAGGUGUGACGCGGACCGAAAAAGAGUAGGGAAGCUGUUAAGCAAGCCGUCAAGAAAAGCUGCUAUUGUUUCAUUAUGGCCCGUACCGUAAACCGACACAGGUGGAUGGGGAGAGAAUCCUAAGGUCGGCGGAAGAAGUAUUGUUAAGGAACUCGGCGAAAUGACCCCGUAACUUCGGGAGAAGGGGUGCCUGCGAGAGCAGGCCGCAGAGAAGAGGCCCAAGCAACUGUUUAGCAAAAACACAGGUCUAUGCAAAACCGAAAGGUGAGGUAUGUGGGCUGACGCCUGCCCGGUGCUGGAAGGUUAAGGGGAGUGGUCAGGAAACGAAGCCACGAACUUAAGCCCCAGUAAACGGCGGCCGUAACAAUAACGGUCCUAAGGUAGCGAAAUUCCUUGUCGGGUAAGUUCCGACCCGCACGAAAGGCGUAAUGAUUUGGGCGCUGUCUCGACAAUACAUCCGGUGAAAUUGAAGUGCCAGUGAAGAUGCUGGCUACCUGCGCCAGGACGGAAAGACCCCAUGGAGCUUUACUCCAGCUUGAUACUGGGACCCGGUAUUGCAUGUACAGGAUAGGUGGGAGGCUAGGAAAUGUGGACGCCAGUCUGCAUGGAGCCGCUGUUGGGAUACCACCCUUGUGGUGCUGGGUUUCUAACCAGAGGCCGUGAACCGGUCUGGGGACAAUGUCAGGUGGGGAGUUUGACUGGGGCGGUCGCCUCCGAAAGGGUAUCGGAGGCGCCCAAAGGUUCCCUCAGAAUGGUUGGAAACCAUUCGAAGAGUGCAAAGGCAGAAGGGAGCUUGACUGCGACACCGACGGGUGGAGCAGGUACGAAAGUAGGGCUUAGUGAUCCGGUGGAAUUUAAGUGGGAAUGCCAUCGCUCAACGGAUAAAAGCUACCCUGGGAUAACAGGCUGAUCACUCCCAAGAGUUCACAUCGACGGAGCUUGGCACCUCGAUGUCGGCUCAUCGCAUCCUGGGGCUGAAGUCGGUCCCAAGGGUUGGGCUGUUCGCCCAUUAGAGCGGUACGCGAGCUGGGUUCAGAACGUCGUGAGACAGUUCGGUCCCUAUCCGGCGUGGGCGUAGGAUAUCUGAGAGGAGCUGUCCUUAGUACGAGAGGACCGGGAUGGACUGACCUCUGGUGUACCGGUUGGCGAUCAACGCCACGGCCGGGUAGCCAUGUCGGGACGGGAUAAACGCUGAAGGCAUCUAAGCGUGAAGCCCCCCUCAAGAUGAGAUAUCCCAUUCGAAAGAAGUAAGACCCCUUGAAGACGACGAGGUUGAUAGGGCAGGGGUGGAAGUGCUGUAAGGCAUGGAGCUGACUGCUACUAAUCGGUCGAGGGCUUGAUC